GUCCACGCCCUAAAACGAUGGGUACUCGGUGUCGCGGGUAUCGACCCCCGCGGUGCCUUAGCUAACGCGUUAAGUACCCCGCCUGGGGAGUACGGUCGCAAGGCUGAAACUCAAAAGGAAUUGACGGGGGCCCGCACAAGCGGUGGAGCAUGUGGUUUAAUUCGAUGCAACGCGAAGAACCUUACCUGGGCUCGAACGGUGGUGGACAACCGUGGAAAACACGGUCUCCUCUUCGGAGGUCGCCAUCGAGGUGCUGCAUGGCUGUCGU
rnacentral:rRNA from 1 species